UACGUAGGGUGCAAGCGUUAAUCGGAAUUACUGGGCGUAAAGCGUGCGCAGGCGGUGCUGUAAGACAGGUGUGAAAUCCCCGGGCUUAACCUGGGAACUGCAUUUGUGACUGCAUCGCUGGAGUGCGGCAGAGGGGGAUGGAAUUCCGCGUGUAGCAGUGAAAUGCGUAGAUAUGCGGAGGAACACCGAUGGCGAAGGCAAUCCCCUGGGCCUGCACUGACGUUCAUGCACGAGAGCGUGGGGAGCAAACAGG
rnacentral:rRNA from 1 species